AGUUUUUGUUCUCUAUGAACACCUCCAGUGAGCUAGAGCCUAGAAUAUGUAUACAAUGCUAGUUGCCAUCUAAAUUUAUUGCGCUUAGUACAAUGCAGAAAAAAAUGGCGGGUGACUUAACAGCUUGGUGGUGGAACAAUGGGUGUAGGACUGGUGUUGCCAAUGCCGUAAUGAAGUAGCCUCAAAUGAGGAAGAAGAACGAUAGUUUGGAGUGCUGAAAAGAUAG
rnacentral:misc_RNA from 1 species